GAUGAACGCUAGCGGCAGGCCUAAUACAUGCAAGUCGGACGGGAUCCAUUGAUAGCUUGCUCUCAAUGGUGAGAGUGGCGCACGGGUGCGUAACGCGUGAGCAACCUGCCUCCAUCAGGGGGAUAGCCUCUCGAAAGAGAGAUUAACACCGCAUAAUAUCAACAGUUCGCAUGUUCAGUUGAUUAAAUAUUUAUAGGAUGGAGAUGGGCUCGCGUGACAUUAGCUAGUUGGUAGGGUAACGGCUUACCAAGGCGACGAUGCCUAGGGGCUCUGAGAGGAGAAUCCCCCACACUGGUACUGAGACACGGACCAGACUCCUACGGGAGGCAGCAGUAAGGAAUAUUGGUCAAUGGGCGGAAGCCUGAACCAGCCAUGCCGCGUGCAGGAUGACUGCCCUAUGGGUUGUAAACUGCUUUUGUCCAGGAAUAAACCUAAAUACGAGUAUUUAGCUGAAUGUACUGGAAGAAUAAGGAUCGGCUAACUCCGUG
rnacentral:rRNA from 1 species